CUAACAAGGAUUCCCCUAGUAACUGCGAGUGAAGAGGGAAAAGCUCAAAUUUAAAAUCUGGCGGGCUCUGUCCGUCCGAGUUGUAAUCUGGAGAAGCGUUUUCCGCGUCGGACCGUGCACAAGUCUCCUGGAACGGAGCGUCAUAGAGGGUGAGAAUCCCGUCCAUGGCACGGACCGCCGAUGCUCUGUGAUACGUUUUCAAAGAGUCGAGUUGUUUGGGAAUGCAGCUCAAAACGGGUGGUAAAUUCCAUCUAAAGCUAAAUAUUGGCGAGAGACCGAUAGCGAACAAGUACCGUGAGGGAAAGAUGAAAAGCACUUUGGAAAGAGAGUUAAACAGUACGUGAAAUUGUUGAAAGGGAAACGCUUGAAGUCAGUCGCGUCCGACGGAACUCAGCCUUGCUUCGGCCUGGUGUACUUUCCGUCGGACGGGUCAACAUCAGUUUUGACCGGUGGAAAAAGGUGGGGGGAAUGUAGCGCCGCUUCGGUGGCGUGUUAUAGCCCCUCGCUGUAUGCACCGGUCGGGACUGAGGACCGCAGCACGCCUUUUUGGCCGGGGGCUCGCGCCCUACGUACCGUGCUUAGGAUGUUGGCAUAA
rnacentral:rRNA from 1 species